GCCUGAGUGGCUCAGUCGGUUGCGCAUCUGACUUUGGCUCAGAUCAUGAUCUCGUGGUUCAUGAGUUCGAGCCCCACAUCAGGCU
rnacentral:tRNA from 1 species